rnacentral:lncRNA from 1 species
UCUCAACAGGUGGCCUCCAGGGUUGCCAAGGCAAAGGACUAGAGGUCACUUCCUUAUGCUGUGGCCCAGGAGAAACUCAUAUGACUUCUGCAUACAUUUCACUGGCUAUGACUAGUCACAUAGUCAUACCUAACUGCAAGAGACCUGGGGAGUGGAGACUUCCUGAGUGACAGGAGGAGAGAAGGGUAUAGGUUUCAUGGCAUGAUAUGGCUCAAUCCACAGACAAAGGCUGCUGAGCCCAGAACAGCUUAUUGGACGAGCCCCUAUGAGAAGCAGAAAUGUAUAGAAGCAAACUGAACCCAAGGAAAGAUUGGUGAUACUUUGGGAGGGAUGACAGAGGAAGGGGAAACACACUGUCCAUCCCUGUCCCAGCAAGGAGCCAGCUCCCAUUCGGCAGUCCCUCUGAACAUCUAGGUAGCUUCCCCCUUCUUUCUGUCCAGUUGUGAGCAGCCACCAACUAUGAUGCCCCUCUUCCAGCAGGCUUUGCUUUCACAUCACAAAGCAUCAUCCUGAGAAACAAUUACAGUUCUUUUUAGAGUUCUGGUUCCUUCAUAGGUACCUAUUGUCCUAAUAAAUGGAAUUCCUUGGAACACAAAAGCAUUUAUUUCCUCUUUUAGCUAAUUUAAUUUUUACAGCUCUGGUGAAAAAAUAUUUUAUGUUUUUACUCAAUGUGAUUUUAAGAUAGCUUAUUCUUGGAUUCAAU